rnacentral:tRNA from 1 species
GUUGUGCCUCAGAGGUAGAGUUCUUGCCUAGCAUGCAUGAGGCACUGGGUUCAAUCCUCAGCACAACA